rnacentral:rRNA from 1 species
UCGCGGCCUAUCAGCUUGUUGGUGGGGUAGUGGCCUACCAAGGCGACGACGGGUAGCCGGCCUGAGAGGGUGACCGGCCACACUGGGACUGAGACACGGCCCAGACUCCUACGGGAGGCAGCAGUGGGGAAUAUUGCACAAUGGGCGAAAGCCUGAUGCAGCGACGCCGCGUGAGGGAUGACGGCCUUCGGGUUGUAAACCUCUUUCAGCACGGAAGAAGCGAAAGUGACGGUACGUGCAGAAGAAGCGCCGGCUAACUACGUGCCAGCAGCUGCGGUAAUACGUAGGGCGCAAGCGUUGUCCGGAAUUAUUGGGCGUAAAGAGCUCGUAGGCGGUUUGUCGCGUCUGCUGUGAAAGCCCGGGGCUUAACCCCGUGGUGUGCAGUGGGUACGGGCAGACUAGAGUGCAGUAGGGGAGACUGGAAUUCCUGGUGUAGCGGUGAAAUGCGCAGAUAUCAGGAGGAACACCGAUGGCGAAGGCAGGUCUCUGGGCUGUUACUGACGCUGAGGAGCGAAAGCAUGGGGAGCGAACAGGAUUAGAUACCCUGGUAGUCCAUGCCGUAAACGUUGGGCACUAGGUGUGGGGGACAUUCCACGUUUUCCGCGCCGUAGCUAACGCAUUAAGCGCCCCGCCUGGGGAGUACGGA